rnacentral:rRNA from 1 species
AUUGAACGCUGGCGGCAGGCUUAACACAUGCAAGUCGAACGAGUGGCGGACGGGUGAGUAAUGUUUGGGAAUCUGGCUUAUGGAGGGGGAUAACUACGGGAAACUGUAGCUAAUACCGCAUACCAUCGGAUGAGCCCAAGUGGGAUUAGGUAGUUGGUGGGGUAAAGGCUCACCAAGCCGACGAUCGCUAGCUGGUCUGAGAGGAUGACCAGCCAAACUGGGACUGAGCCACGGCACAGAUACCUACGGGAGGCAGCAGUGGGGAAUAUUGCGCAAGGGGGGAAACCUGACGCAGCCAUGCCGCGUGAAUGAAGAAGGCCUUCGGGUUGUAAAGUGCUUUCGGUAGCGAGGCGUUAACUACAGAAUAAGCACCGGCUAACUCCGGGCCAGCAGCCGCGGUAAAC